UACGAGGGGGGCAAGCGUUGUUCGGAAUUAUUGGGCGUAAAGGGCGCGUAGGCGGUUUGACAAGUCUGAUGUGAAAUCUAUGGGCUCAACUCAUAGUCUGCAUUAGAAACUGUCGGGCUUGAGUAUGGGAGAGGUGAGUGGAAUUUCCGGUGUAGCGGUGAAAUGCGUAGAUAUCGGAAGGAACACCUGUGGCGAAAAGCGGCUCACUGGACCAUAACUGACGCUGAGGCGCGAAAGCUAGGGGAGCAAACAGG
rnacentral:rRNA from 1 species